AUAGACACAAUGCCACUUCCUUUCAGCAGAAAUUCCCCUCAACUAUAAAUUCAGUCAAAAGUCAAGCCAAUCUAGUUUUUUAUUUCUGACUUUAUACUUUCUAGACUCAUUUUUGCACACACGCAGACUUGCUCGCACACAGGCACAUGCACACACGUGUGCCCUCACAUGCACCCGCACCACACUCCCCUCACCCUCCCCACAGCAGCAGCCAGGCUGGGCUGGGGCCAGGGAGCACCACUGCCAUCGGGAGGGGAUCCCAUGCCUUCACUCACUGUCCCCAUACUCACCCAUGGGCUUCCCCAGGAGGCAGCUACUUCCUUGAGCAGCUCCAACCUGUCAGAAAGUGUGAAAAUGUCUUCUGUUCACAUCUGAGAAAAAGAUGCACAGCUGAAUCAAGGAAUGGCUGCAUAUUGAAAUGAAGGAAUAUUCUUUCUGCAUGAUCACGUAGGACUAUGGCAUUUAAAGGUCAUCAUGGAAAGCAUCUUCCAGACACCUACUAUCAACAGUAACCUCUCAGAGUAUUGACUGAUAAUGAUUAUGUAUUGUUAAAAGCAUUUUCUGUCAAAUAGAAAUAAAUGUUUUUCAUAUUGUUUCCUGCUUCUUGGAUAAAUAGAAAAAGAUAAGAUUUUCAGUAUUUAUUCUACUGUCUGCUCAUGUAUGUGAGCAGCCCCUUCAGAGUUUAAUCUCUAUAGCAAUA